rnacentral:sRNA from 1 species
AACAACUGAAAGGAGGUGACCCAGUGUCUCAUUGUCUUCAUCCGCAGGUGGAAACCGUGACCUGGACCUCCGCUUACGAGGCUUGCGCGUAAGCGUAUUGGGGUUGCGGGACCGCUGAGCGGUCCGACAAUGGAAGGGCCGGCCCCGACAACGGGCCGGCC